AUAAUAGCUUUGACGGGAAAAAGUAGCAGUCUUGCACAGUCUCUCAGAGAGCCUCCGGUUGGUGAAAGGAGGUGAGACCAAAGGUUGUGAAUACCUCCCCGAGCUGCUGCCCGAACGGAAAGUUUUUUCUGAGUAGGCGCAGCCGUUUGAUCUGCGUUAACAGAUUAGGGUAUCCGGCUUUGGAUUCGAUAGAAUACGGCUGUGUACCUGCUGAGGCUGCUUUCCGCGAGGAGGUAGUAAAUAGAGGUGGUAACGCGUUUGAUUCGCCCUCUGC
rnacentral:ncRNA from 1 species